UUAAGUUCAGCGGGUAUCCCUACCUGAUUCGAGGAGUUCCAAUGUCAUGUAAUCCCAGCCUCCCAGGCCCCCGCACGUGGCAAGGGUCUGGCAGCCUUGCGGUGCCCGAGGGGAUACCAAGGUACCGCGCUCGGCGACGCGACAGGCGUCUGGGCCAGGGCUGGCAGCCUCUCCGCGCUCGAGGCGAUAAGCAAAGAAUA
rnacentral:misc_RNA from 1 species